rnacentral:rRNA from 1 species
AUUGAACGCUGGCGGCAGGCCUAACACAUGCAAGUCGAACGCGUGGCGGACGGGUGAGUAAUAUCUGUGAAACUUCCUGAUGGCGGGGGAUACAUACUGUAAACAGUAGCUAAUACCGCAUACCAUCAUAUAUACCCCGAUGGGAUUAGCUUGUUUGUGGGGUAACGUCUCACCAAGGCGACGAUCCCUAGCUGGUCUGAGAGGAUGACCAGCCACACUGGAACUGAGACACGGUCCAGACUCCUACGGGAGGCAGCAGUGGGGAAUAUUGCACAAUGGGCGAAAGCCUGAUGCAGCCAUGCCGCGUGUAUGAAGAAGGCCUUCGGGUUGUAAAGCACUUUCAGCGGGGAGGCGUUACCCGCAGAAGAAGCACCGGCUAACUCCGUGCCAGCAGCCGCGGUAAUAC